CACACUGACAGAUUUCCCCAACAGGGAGCUGCUUCUGUCCCGUGCGCGCCAAAUUCCCUGAGGGGGAGCGAGUCCCUGCGCAA